rnacentral:rRNA from 1 species
GAUGAACGCUAGCGGGAGGCUUAACACAUGCAAGCCGAGCGGUAUUUGUUCUUCGGAACAGAGAGAGCGGCGCACGGGUGCGGAACACGUGUGCAACCUGCCUUUAUCUGGGGGAUAGCCUUUCGAAAGGAAGAUUAAUACCCCAUAAUAUAUUGAGUGGCAUCAUUUGAUAUUGAAAACUCCGGUGGAUAGAGAUGGGCACGCGCAAGAUUAGAUAGUUGGUGAGGUAACGGCUCACCAAGUCAAUGAUCUUUAGGGGGCCUGAGAGGGUGAUCCCCCACACUGGUACUGGGACACGGACCAGACUCCUACGGGAGGCAGCAGUGAGGAAUAUUGGACAAUGGGUUAGCGCCUGAUCCAGCCAUCCCGCGUGAAGGACGACGGCCCUAUGGGUUGUAAACUUCUUUUGUAUAGGGAUAAACCUACUCUCGUGAGAGUAGCUGAAGGUACUAUACGAAUAAGCACCGGCUAACUCCGUG